GUCCUUUCCUGUGUUUGUGUUUGCAUCCGGGUUCUCAGGCUUCCUCAAUCCUCACCGGCUGGAGUCGCUGGCGGGUUGCUGGGUGUGUUAGGUCCUGCUGUUCCGUCGUUGGAUGAGGCUGGAGGUCCGCCGGUUUCAACCUCUUGGACUAAGAGCUGUAUAUCACCAAUAAUGAGGCUUGUAAUUCUUGAUAACUAUGACUUGGCCAGUGAGUGGGCAGCCAAGUACAUCUGCAAUCGUAUCAUCAAAUUCAAGCCUGGACAGGACAGAUACUUUUCACUGGGCUUACCAACAGGGAGCACACCUUUAGGAUGUUAUAAAAAACUAAUAGAAUACCACAAGAGUGGAAACCUUUCAUUUAAAUAUGUGAAGACUUUUAACAUGGAUGAAUAUGUUGGACUUCCAAGAAACCAUCCCGAAAGCUACCAUUCUUAUAUGUGGAAUAACUUCUUUAAGCAUAUCGACAUAGAUCCUAAUAAUGCUCACAUCCUCGAUGGGAACGCUGCUGAUUUGCAGGCAGAGUGUGAUGCAUUUGAGGAGAAAAUAAAAGAAGCCGGAGGAAUAGAUCUUUUUGUUGGAGGGUUUGGUUAAUAAAAACACUAAGAACUGUGCCAAAUGGGAUCAAAAUAUCAGCUUUAUUAAAGGAAAGAGAAAAGAGGAAACGAAUCCUCUGAGAGCUUUCAUUCUUUCUCUGAUGAUGACAGAAAGGUAAGGUGUAUCCUAAGUGUCUAAGGAGGACCCAGCAGUAAGGUAGAGAUAAAGAAACUUAAGUGUAAUAUCUUAAACUUUGAUAUUUUAUUUAUAUAAAAUUUAAAGAAGACUGGGAAAAACUUUCAUAUUUUAAUUGGUGAAGCUUUUGUUGGCAAUAACACUAUAACUUGUAGAGGGGGUCUAGUAGUGUGUUCACUGAAAUGAUUCUGGUAUAGUUCACAAAACCUAGAGAGGGGAUCAAGCACUGAGUGUUUGGAAAGAACCAAAAAACCUUAGCUCACAGAAGCAAUGGCACGUUAAGCAGCAGCUGUCAUUAGUCGUGUGUUUGUGUUUGCUUUGUUUCUGUUCGUCAGAUAAGGAUCAGUUCUAGUGAGGACUCCAUUGCUUCAGCUUGCAGUGCUUUGCUCUUGCCACUCUCACUCAGAACGAUAGGGACAUAAGGAAUUGCCUUUGAGAUCCUCACCCCCUGACCCCUGCAGCCUGUAGUGAGGAGUGGAGCAGAAGAGGUAUAGCAGGAAGAAACUGCUGAGCUGACCAAAGAGAAGUAACGUGCAUUAAUUCAUUCAGCUCUUCAUUCAUUGAAUGUCUCUUGUGUGUCAUGUUAACUUCUGAGUAGUAGAGACACACAAAAGCCUUACUCAAAGGAAGUUUACAAACUACCCACAAGACCACAAGAACUAUAGGACCAAAAGUCAUUCAUAUAUAUAUAUAUAUAAUUUCACCAGUGAGCUCUUGAGAGGAUGCUGAGACCCUAAUGUAGAUGUACGGGCCACAGAGUUAGUGGAGCAUAAAGCAUUAUCCGGAAUCAAUCAGUCUCUAUGCCAUUUGUGGCAGAAAGCAUAUGUAGUGGUGCUCCUCUAACAGGACACUUGACCAAGCUCAGGUCAGCCAUGUGCUUUCUGUGGCCCAUGUCACCAAUGAAAACAUUAAUAAGACUUACAGGAUCUCUGAUUUGUUUUCUGAAGGUUUUAUGUUUCGAGCUCUAACCUUUCUUUUGUGUGCAUCUAAAGACAAUUACAUGGUGCAUUUGUAUAUCCAAGAGUAAAAUGAUACAUUUGAAAACACAUUUAAGUAUAAUUAAAACGUGCUAGAUACCGGUCUGUACUCAGGAAUGGAAACAAUCCUUGAAAAUUAAACAUAUGUAAGUCCUUAUUAAAAGUGUACACCCCACAGUAAUCACUGCUAGACUGUUGUGCUUUAGAACAUUUGAUUCAUACUAUAUUUUUCUUAAUUCUUCAAAACUAGAUUAUAGCUUGCUUAUUUUACUAUGGCCUAAGAAGCUUAAUGAUAUAGCAUGUAUCAGUGAAAUAUACCUGUCGUCUCCUUAAAGUAAACAGGUGGAGUAUAGAUGUAAAAGAUAUUUUUAUUGCUUAGAGAAUUGGGUUUUUGGUUGUUUUUUUUUUUUUUUUUUUGAGAAUGCUGACAACUAUGAUACAGGUGUGUAAACUUUUAUUUUUAAAGGUUCUUGAUUUUUUUAAGGAAAUUACCAUUGUCUUCAAAUAAGGAAUAUCAUGUUCUUUUCUAUAUUUUAAAAGCCAUCAUAAAAUAUAGCAGGUGUGUAUAGGUCACUGUGGUUGAUACCUGUAUGUCAUGAAAUCAUUGCAACCAGUAACAUCCACCAUUCUCUUCUUGUACCACUAAGGAAAUGAAGUGUAACAGAAAAGACCUUGCAUAGAUCCCUGUAAAGCCAAGUGUAAUUUUAUGCAUUUUAUUUGAUUUUAUUUUAGAUGAGAGAGAGAGAGAGAGAGAGAGAGAGAGAGAGAGUAUGUGUGUGUGUGUGUGUGUGUAUUACAGUGAAAAAUCAGAAAGCUUGUAAUAUAAAACUGGUAUCUUAGGUAUUUCUAAUGCAAUUCUAUAUUAUUUUAUGAGGAAAUAAAACUAAAAGGGAACCAUAGUUAAUUGCCUCACCUAAACUGGACUGAAGCAAAGCACGGCGAGGAUAUCAAACCCUGGAGUCAGUAGUCAGGAGCCUAUGAUUCGAGUGCAUCUCAGUGUUUACUAAACUGUGGUCUUUCACAUCAGUUUCUUUUUGUGUUCCUGAAGAGGUGGCCAUGAGGGAAGUAGCCACAGAGUUACCAAAUACUGUCUGUUGUGAAAAUGCCCUCGAAGCCUGUAGUGCUGUGUAAAUGUGGUGCUCCCCGCUCUUGGUACAUACAUGUCAUUCCAUGCUGUGUACUCAGCAGAUAUGGGAUACUGAAUGAAAUAUACAAAUAUCUUAAUAUUAUGAAUUGAGUUCUAAAAUAAGGUAAGUGUGUUUAUGGUGAUUUCUUUACCUUUAUAACUAUGUUGAAAUUUGAGAAAAUAUGAUAUACUAUAUGUUUGAAACCUUGUUUAUAUCAUGUAUAUAUGAGUGUGCAUAUCUGUUUUUGAAAGGAAUAGGUCCAGAUGGUCAUAUCGCUUUCAAUGAGCCAGGAUCCAGUUUAGUAUCAAGAACAAGAUUAAAGACUCUAGCAAUGGACACCAUUUUAGCAAAUGCAAAAUAUUUUGAUGGAGAUUUAUCAAAAGUACCAACCAUGGCUCUAACUGUUGGUGUGGGGACAGUGAUGGAUGCCAGGGAGGUAAGUAAUGUUGUUUUGAAUAUUUUUCUUUGAUGUUGAGUAAUUAUGGUGCUUAAUAUUUUAGAUUCAUCUAGUUUUCAAUAAAAAUGCUUAAAGGACAACAUUUAAUUAGAGCUGCCUCACUGGUUCUGAGGUUCAGUCCAUUAUCAUCACAGCCGGAAGCAUGGCAACAUCCAGGCAGGCAUGGGACUGUAUGAACUGACAGCUCUACUUCUUGUUCAGAGGCAAACUGGAGCAGAAUGGCUCUCACGUGGCUAGGAGGAGGGUCUCCAAGCCCACCACCACAGUGACACACCUCCUCCAACAAGGCCACACUUCCUGAUAGUGCCACUCCCUGAGCCAAGCAUAUACAAACCACAACAGUAACUGUGGUUGUGUUGGCAUUUGCGAAAGGGGUAUAGAGAGAAUGUCCUACAUAGUUUUGGAGCCCAUGGGAUUGAUUAAUAAAAAGUGCUUUUGACUACA